GAGCGGCAGCGCGGGGGCAACCCUGGCGGCGAGCGGCGGACGGGUGAGGAAUGCGUCGGAAUCUGCCUUGUUGUGGGGGAUAACGUAGGGAAACUUACGCUAAUACCGCAUAAGACCGCGAGGUGAAAGUGGGGGACCGCAAGGCCUCACGCGACAAGAUGAGCCGACGCCGGAUUAGCUAGUUGGUGGGGUAAAGGCCCACCAAGGCGACGAUCCGUAGCUGGUCUGAGAGGAUGAUCAGCCACACUGGGACUGAGACACGGCCCAGACUCCUACGGGAGGCAGCAGUGGGGAAUAUUGGACAAUGGGCGCAAGCCUGAUCCAGCCAUGCCGCGUGGGUGAAGAAGGCCUUCGGGUUGUAAAGCCCUUUUGUUGGGAAAGAAAUCCUGUCGGUUAAUACCUGGCGGGGAUGACGGUACCCAAAGAAUAAGCACCGGCUAACUUCGUGCCAGCAGCCGCGGUAAUACGAAGGGUGCAAGCGUUACUCGGAAUUACUGGGCGUAAAGGGCGCGUAGGCGGACGUUUAAGUCAGGGGUGAAAUCCCGGGGCUCAACCUCGGAAUUGCCUUUGAUACUGGAUGUCUCGAGACCGGAAGAGGUAAGUGGAACUGCGAGUGUAGAGGUGAAAUUCGUAGAUAUUCGCAAGAACACCAGUGGCGAAGGCGGCUUACUGGUCCGGAUCUGACGCUGAGGCGCGAAAGCGUGGGGAGCAAACAGGAUUAGAUACCCUGGUAGUCCACGCCGUAAACGAUGGAUGCUAGUCGUUGGGCAGCUUGCUGUUCAGUGGCGCAGCUAAC
rnacentral:rRNA from 1 species